rfam:Myotis davidii contig212356, whole genome shotgun sequence.
CAUGCACCAGUGGGGUCCCUCAGCCUGGCCUGCAGGAUCAGGCCAAAACCGGCUGUCUGACAUCCAAGGGGUCCCGUAUUGCGAGAGCAGGCCAGGCUGAGGGACCCCACCAGUGCACA